UUAGACCGCUAGAUUUCCUCAGUGAUCUCUCCAGUAUUCAAAAGAACUGACAAACCAUUUCUGAAGCAAACUUUAAUUCCCGUUUCCUUUGGAGGUCCGCAGCGUCCCCUCACAGAUCAGCCACUGGAGGGCGACAUGAUCCCAGUCAUGCAGACUAUUGGGCAGCACGCACCCAGCUGGCACCGCCGAAGUCAGCAACGAAAUUUCUACCUAAAGCUCCAAAGCACGUCAGCCAUUGACUUCAAAGACAGCAAGCUCUGACUCUUAAAUAAUUAACAUCAGCAAGACUUCAUGUUUUCCACACGUCCAUUGGAAUUCAUAGUUACCUGAUUGAGCCUAACAAGUCCGAGACCACAGUGAUAUUCCCCUCCAGAAACUGGAGAAAGCAGACACAGAGUCACCAUGAAAUUGAAAGCAUCACUACCUGAGUGGCCUUCUAAGAUUCUGGACACAUGAAAGUUAAUUUGGGAUUAGAUUCCCGAACUUCCUGACUGUAGUUUCCAUGCUCAGCUCCUACUACCUUGAAUAGGAGAUAACUUGGCAGUAAUAUUUUUAAAUGCCCAAAGUUAAAGGCAAAGUUCUGUUGUCAGGUUUUUUUAAAAGAAAAUGUUUACCCAGCCGUGAUCUUCAUUAAGCCACAGCAGACAGUAAACUAACAUCAGUUCUCAGCAUCAUGCCAACACCUAAAGGACAAUGUUAACUUUGACCAUGCAAAGAGGAGAAACGUGAUAGCACUUUUCAAUUUGGCACAGGUACCAUUGCUUCUGGAAAUCUGUGUCCAGUUCUUAUCCUCAUCAGUCAGAAAGAAUGCUAAUUACUGAGCAGAUGUGUAUGUUCCCUACAUCACAACCAGAACAAAACCAAAUAGGAUGCAACAAGAUAAAAAGAUGACAGAUAAAAAUACACAGCAGACAUUAGGUAGAUGUUUUAACAAAUACAUCCCUGAGAGCUUUGGAGAACUGAACUAUCACCAGAAACUUCCAAAUCUAGACUGGCUACCUUGGCAGCAGUUUGUUCACUUGACCAGAAGAGGUAUUAUUGUAGGGAAGCUCUUUGACUUGUAUUAGGGAAUUAUCAGAUUAAAAGAACACAAGGAUCCUUCCUGAUCUUAAGCUUGUUUUCACAGUAGA